rnacentral:tRNA from 1 species
GGAGUUGUGGCCUAGUGGUAGAGUACUUGCCUGGCAUGUGGGAGGCCCUGGGUUCGAUUCUCAGCACCA